CUAUGUGUUUUGCAGGUUGCUCUACACCCAUCUUGCGGUGGUGUAUUCGUGCGUUUUACGCCGGCAGAUUUCGCUGACUCCUGUUUGGUUCAGCCCUCUCCAUCUCUUCAGCCUCUACCUCCCCACUUUUCUGCGUCCUCUGUUUGCACCAUCCCUCCCUCCUGCCUAAGGGUAGCGUCCUCCAAGCGUCCUCGCUCCGCGGCGCCCUGUGUCCUCCAGACCAGCUGCUCCGGUUUGUCUCCAGGAGGACUAUCAUUGAGCUUCUCUUAGAGUUUUUCCAUGGAUUGCCUCUCAGGAAGCGUGGAGACAGGACCUUUAUGGGUGAUACUGAAGCAAGUAGCAUCCUUGGAUGAGAUGGAAAAACCACGUGCCUGGCCACUUUUGUAAUCAUUCAAAGUCCCCAUGGCAAUUUUGCAAGAGUGUGGAUAAAGCGCUGGUGAAGACCUGUGUGAGUCCAAAUAUUGCCCUCCUGCAGCAAGACCACGUGGAGCUGAUGAUGCCUGGGCAACUUGGCGGUUGCAUUCCUACAGUGGCGAAAACGAGUUUGGAAUCAGUGUCGCUCUCAAAGAGGUCAUUUGAGGUCAGAAAAGAAGGGCUAACAUCUGAGAUCUGCGGUGAAAAAAAGGCUCGCCACACAGGAAGCUGUGGACGCGCUGUUGUUUGAAUCAUUUAAAACAGGGCUGGAAAAGAGUAUUCAAGAAUAGAAAACCGUCCUGUGCUGCUUUGCGCAAGACACAGACAGACAGGCUGCUCUGACCCGCAGCUGGCACUUCGUGCUUGUUAAAACGGAGGUGCUUUGUGCAAGGGAUGCCGGUUGUGGCAAGCGUUGCCUGGUGUGGAGGGAAGGAAAAGGGCUUUCUUGCUGAACCUCUGCACUUAUGCAAAAUUAGUCACCCUUUUAGGCCUCUGGGACAGCGCGCAGUGCCAAAUGCGCUGAGCUGAAAAAUGCAAGGUGUUGCCACUAACUCAGCCCCUCUCGGCAGCCCCGAAUUCACUCAAGCAAAAUCCUGGCUGGGGCCUUUUGCUGGACAAAUCCUCAAGUCCUUGCUAAGCCUCCACUUGGCUCAACUCUCCCUGGCUUCGGCGGCUGUUUACUCAUUUCUUACUCAAGGAAACUCCUAUUGAUUUUUUGACCUGAGUGAGACUGCACGAAGGAUGAGUAAGUUCCUUAGGAUGCGUCUUUGCGAUCUGAGCCCCAGGGCGACCCUUCGCCAAUACGGGAAUGAAACCCUGAGUCCAAGCAGCGCAGCAGGGAAUCAGCCGGCGAGUGCCAGUUGUUUGGAAAUGCUGCUUGCCUUGCUGCUAGACACACCUACUUGUUCCAGGAUCGACCUUCCUGCCUAAGGAUAUUUAACACACAAUGGCUGGCACAACUGAACUUCAAUUUUCCAGACAAUUAUGGUGAAGCGGCAUUCACCGCAUUCCUUUCAUGCUCCUUUGAUGUUGGGUGAUUUCACAGUACAUAAUGAUAGGACACAGACCAGACUAACAUCCUCACCCCUUGGAACUCGCACCCACCACCACAGCCUCAUUUAUUUCUAGAUAC